UGCGCCGGGGGGCGCCCCGGAUGCCGCCCGUGACUCGCCUUCCCGGAGAGAAACCUCAUGAGGUUCAGCAAGGCUCUGGGGAGGAAUAACCCCAAGUACUAGCGUUAUUGGGGUUGGCGACCUUCUAGAGAGCAGCAGUGUGGAGAAGGACCUGGUGGGUAACAAGCUGACCGUGAGCCGGCGGUGGCUUUGAAGCUCUGAGAGCCAAUGGGAUCCUGGGGUGCAUCGGGAAAUGUACGGCCUGCAGAUUGAAAGAGGAGACACUGGAGGAGCUGGGCCUGUUCAGCCUGGAGAAGACUGAGACUGGAUCUCAUUAAUGGAGGUUGGAAGGAAGAUGUAAGUCUGCUUGAAGGAGCCAGGAAUCUGCCAAGCCUGAAUCCAAAGCACCGAGCUAUGAAGAUUGUGGAGGUGAUGGCCUGAAGUUGGUGCUGUGGGUCACCAUUUGACUGGAAAAGGGGGAACCACCAGAUUACUUCCAAAACAGAGAAACAUUCAGAGCAGCAGUGAAAGAAUAUUUUAGCAAACAUAGUUUGGAUUAAGCCACAAGGAGCCAAAGGAACAUCAAACACUACAGAAAGAGCUUCCAGUAAUAUGGAUAAUUAUUGGGGCUACUUGUCCUGAGAGCUGCAAAAAUCAUCAAGAGGUCACAGGGUUAAUCCCUAACUUGGCAUUUAUAAUUCAUUUAUUUUUACUCUAACCAAUUGGGAGAAACUCAAUUUUAAGUUUGGUCUGUAGUUAGCCACCAAGAGUCAAGUGCUCCAUUUCCAAAAGUGCCCUAUUAAUCUGUAUAUACUUCAUAACAAGUUAAUCUGACACACUUCAGUUGUAUUCCCUUCAAUGACUUCUCAAGCAAUACCAGUCAUUCACUUCCAUCAAGAGAGUCUUCCCAUGUACAAAGGAAUAUCCUAACCCAUGGAAGAACUUGAAAAGCAUAAAAAAGUCACCUACCGAGUAACAAAUUAUUUCUAUACAAUACCUCUUGAGUGAAAAGAUUUGCCUGGCAGCAGUUUGGGAUAUUUUGGGCACGUAGGAGGAGGAGGACAGCAAAAAGUGAUGAAAAUGCAUAGAGAUGCUCAGAAAGCAUUGUGAUGGAUGCACGUAUGGAAAGUGAAAUGCUGAGGACACUCUGUGCUCAUGAUACUCCUAUCCAAGAUGUCUCUGGAGGAGAGAACCUGCAACCUAACAUAUAGGGGACAACAUUUCCUCAGGUAUACAAGUUCUUUACCUUUUAAUCACCAACAUUUCCAUUUAAAGUUCUGUUCAGUGUCUUGCUCCACAAACGUGUCUGAAGAAUGUCAGUAUUUCUGAAGCUUAGAGAUACAGUUAAAGUUAACAUUUUUUCCCUGACAAAGUUAUGUAUCAUAGGAGAACUUGGACUUGUGUAGAGGUUUCACUCCCAGGGAGAGUUUGGUUAUAUGAAGAAACUUAUCUUAAAAAAUAAAAAAAGAAAACCCCAACAUCUUUUCAGUGAAAGCCAU